rnacentral:lncRNA from 1 species
AGGUAGACACUGAAUUCAUAGAGCAGACAAAGAAAGCAUGGGAGGUUAGCUCUGAGUUCCAAGAAUAAAGUAAAGCCAAGUGCCUUCAUGAAGCCCCCAUAAUGUUUGUAAUAAAGCUCACCACUGGGCUUUCUGGCCUCAGUUUCUUCAUCUGCAGAAUCCAUGGGCUAGCCGUGAUUAUACUUAAGGCUAAUACUUUACCCUGAAUAUUCAGGUUCUAGGUAUAUGCUUCAUUAAAACUAUCUAGGGCCUCAGAAGUUUAGAAUUCUGAUUUCGCAAAAUUCUGAUAAAAAAUAAAAUGUGUGAACAUGAGGGCAGCAAUCUUGGUAAUAAGGAAAAGCCUGGGGUAGGGCUGGAAACCUCGUAGGCACAGAGGCCCUCCAAGAGGUCCCUUCCCAUUGAUCGGGCCGGGCUAGGGCAGUCACAGCGUGCUGGUCUGGUGGAGUUUAUGCAGCAACACAAACAAGAAACGCAGCAGCAGGGACAGAAAAUCCCCAUGAAGUCUGCCUUCUGCAACUAACUCUCGGUCCACCCCUCUCCACAUCUUGGUCUUCCCUUCCCAACCCCAUUCACAUCCUUCCAGGGGAGAACGUGCAAGAAAUUUCUCCUUUCCUGCAAGCAAAGGAAUCCAGUAGUGCCACCUUGGUCAGAAUGGCCCUUUGUUCUGCUGUUUAAUGACUAAUUAUGAUGCUAUGAGAGGCAUACACAACUCUGGCAGAGCCAGGCCCUCCUGCUCCAGCAGGGCUGAGCGGCUGGAAGUGUGUAAUCUUCGGAAAGCUGUGACUGCGACCUGGAGUUGCGUAAGAAAUAAUUACAGAAUCCAGCCAGGGCUUGCUUCUUGCCACAGGCUCCAGGCUUUUACCCCCGACAUGUGUUCUGGUGAAUGGAGUGAGAUGAGGACUGGGUUUGAGAAGAUUUUGUUGGCUCCACAUGGUUUUGCAAAUCAACCUGCUGCUCCAGUGAUGACAUGCUGCUGAGGGAAGGUUUGGUGGUUCCUGGGAAGUUGAAAGGAUCUGGGCAAGCUUUUUAUUGCUGACUGUGUGCAACUGCCGCAAGGGGUCAAAAGUGCUUGGUUUGCACAACAUCUCCCCGGCAUUCUUACACGUGUGGUUAUGGAAUCAGGGUGCAGGGAAGGGUCAUGGAGCAGAGGGAAUUGCAUGUGCUCGAUCUUUUUCACAUUGGAGCUGCUUUCUGAAACCCGGCACGGGGAAGGGUGCUCAUCCAGGCCUUAAAAGUUGGCAGCAUCCCCCAGGAACUACCCUGUGAACAAAUCCAGGCUUUCGGAAGCACGUGAUUCUGCAGAAAUGCCACAUUCUCUUCCACAUGGGCUGUGGGCUCUGAGUCCCCCUUUGCUUCCUCGGCCUAUGUACCUGCUGAAGAAGACAGUUGUGUCGUGUACAUGCAACCUAAGGAGGUAACCUUUUACCCAGCCUGAGACUUCAGAGGGUAUUCAUAUUGGGGACCAGCAGCCCGUGAUGUUUGUCCCCCAGAGAGGGGGAGAGAGCUGCUGCCUGCAGAGUGGCUGCUCCUGCUUUGCACGGCCCCUGGCUUCUGCAUCCCUCCAUCCUCCAGCUGGGCACAGAGGUUGCCAAAAGGGCCAGUAGGAGGAGAAGGCUUCAUGGAGGACGGGGGCAAGAGCGGGCCGACCAUGCUGGCUUCCUCGCCUUGUGUCUGGCUGACUGCACAGGCCUGAGGAGGUAACCAACAGCAGAAACAGCUCUGGACAAAUGAGCAAAGGAAGACUCGACUGAGUUUCCCCAGAAUGGAGAGGAGCUGAGGAAGCUCCAGGGCCCACAGCGGAAGCUGGUGGACCAUUUCACUAGGACCCUGGGAGCAAAUCAGUCUGACUUGUGUUUGGCCCCUGAAUCCCCCUGCUCAAGGCUCAGAGUCCUGGAGAAUUGAGGGCAACCCCCACAUUGCAUGCCAUGGAUGGUGGCUUCCCCAGGGGAGUCGGGGUGCUAGGACUAGAGCAUGCCUCCUACAAAUGUUGACUUCCCCAGAAAAAUACCAGCUCUCUUAAGUAAGGGUGGGUCUAUCUGUGGGGAUGAUAGGGUCACCCUUAUUAUUCAUACGUUCCCUGGGCCUGAGAACUUACCUGGAAUACACUUUGUUAAAUAGUAAUA